rnacentral:lncRNA from 1 species
AUACUGUCUUCAACCACAGAGAGCCAAUGCUGUCAUUCUCUGCCUUGGCAUCCGCAUAGAAAGAGAGUCUGUCUUGCACAGCAUCCAGUGACUUUCAGGAUGAAAACCACAGCUUUGAGAACAACUGAGUAGAAAGAAAGAAAACAGCCUAAUGACUCAUGGAUGCAUUGUAUCAUCACUGGGCAGGCUACCUUUGGACUACUAUUGUGUGAGAAAAUAAACCUUUGACUCAUUUGA